ensembl:lncRNA
GUUUUUUGCACACGUGUGUAAAGAAUAAAAGGCUCGGUUAUGUUCCUGAAAAUACCCGUUUCAGAGCAGCUCUCACAGACUUUCCAGGGGAACAGGUGAGAUAUCACAGCUCUUCGAAAACAUUCAACAACGACAUUGAAUCAGUGACUUACAAAGAUAUAUUUCUAAUGAUUUUUCAUAAGCACAACCUUGCAAUAAUUUAUUUGUUGGUUUGCUAUAACGUUUUCAAAGGUUUAAAAGAUGGCGCUCUUUAAGAAGUUUCUCCAGAAAAUUUGUAAUGAUGACAGCAGCGAGGAUUUUAAAGAUGGUUCUGCGAAGUUUGGAACAGUCAAGGCUGAUCCCAAUUUUAAUGCCCAAAAUGAUGCUGCAAAACUGAAGAAAGCCAUUGAGACCAAAGUGUUGUCAUGUUUCUUAGUAAAGAUGUGGAGGACACACCCCUGCAGUACUUUCCUUGAAAACACUCCUAGAACUACAGUAUGUCAUAGCUGAAAAGCAGAGACACUAAUUCAUGAGUACUAGAACAAAAUGGCCAGUAACAUGAUAAUGUUACUGAAAUUAAGGAAUGAUUUUGUAUUUUCACUAGUGCUGUCAAAUCGAUUAAUCAUAUCCAAAAUAAAAGUUUGUGUUUACAUAAUAUAUGUGUAUUUAUUAUGUACAUAAAUACACAGACAUGCAUAUGUAUAUUUAUGAAAAAUAUGUUGUUUAUAUAUUAAAUAUAUUUAUAUAAUAUAAAUUUUAUGAAUAUAAAUAUAUGCAUGUAAAUACAUAUAAAUAUUUAUUAUGAUUGAUAUUUAUUAUAUAUAUUUCAAAAUAUGUGUGUGUAUUUAUAUAUACAUAAUAAAUAUAUAUUAUAAAUAAAUAUAGUAUGUAAACACAAACUUUUAUUUUGGAUGCGAACACACACACACACACACACACACACACACACACACACACACACACACACACACACACACACACACACACACACACACACACACACACACACACACACACACACACACACACACACACACACACACACACACACACACACACACACA